CGGAAACUCCCGAUUAAAACCGAGGGACGCGCGGAAACAACCGGAAACACCCGAUUGGCGGAGCGUGGAGCUAAAAAACCAUCAAGAGAAUUAAUUAAUCGCUCCGAACCCUUCAGAGCGGUGCCGGGAGUUGCCGAACGAAUUCGGGUGUGGAACUCCCAAAAAAGACUCCCCCAAAUCCUCCCCGGGAAUUCCCCUCACGGCCUCACCCGCCAGGGGGCGCCCCACGGCCCUCGCGCCUUUCCCGCCUUUUCUCCUCCCUCAGCGCUCACGCCCCGCCCCUUUUCCCGGCAUGCCCUGCGCGGUAUUUAAGCUGCCGCGAGGGAGCAAGGCGGCCAUUUUGUCCCAGCAGCGGUAGGAGAAGUGCUUCUACCCGCGAAAUGCUGCUUUUGCCUGAGGCACGAGCCGUGAGCGCUCAGCUUUUGCAUCAUGGAAUCCUCAUCCGCGGGUUCCCCAUGGUCCCUGCCCAGCGUUAAGAACUGGAAGAGACCUCGGGCCACCAUGAAGUGAACACGGAGCCCCCCCUAAGGUCAGAGCCCCCCUAAAUCCCCCCACAUUUAAAGCAAUGACCAUUAGGCCCCACAAUUGAUAAAAUAAUUAAAAUUUAAUUAAAUAACAACCAAUAAUUUAUAUUUUACAGCGGGAUAU